CUACCCCCUUCUUAGUAGAAAGCUUAGGUAGUGCCACCGGCAAGUCAUCCCCUCCGAUGCCAAUCUUCCAUCACUAUCGUUGUUGUUGUCGGUCUUUUUUUUUCUUAGAGGUUUCUUUCUCGAUCUUUCUUUCUUCCAUUUUUUUUUGAUCUUCUUCUAUUCUCAUUUUUAUGGCUUCUACUGGUAGAGAAUUCGGAGAUGAAAAUCCAAUCG
rnacentral:lncRNA from 1 species